GGGCCCAUAGCUCAGUGGUUAGAGCAGGCGACUCAUAAUCGCUUGGUCGUAGGUUCAAGUCCUACUGGGCCCA
rnacentral:tRNA from 1 species